UACGGGGGGGGCAAGCGUUGUUCGGAAUUAUUGGGCGUAAAGGGUGCGCAGGCGGUCGGGUGUGUCAGAUGUGAAAUCCCGAGGCUCAACCUCGGAACUGCGUCUGAAACUACUCGACUAGAGUACUGGAGAGGGAAACGGAAUUCACGGUGUAGCAGUGAAAUGCGUAGAUAUCGUGAGGAACACCAGAGGCGAAGGCGGUUUCCUGGACAGUUACUGACGCUCAGGCACGAAAGCAUGGGGAGCAAAAGGG
rnacentral:rRNA from 1 species